rnacentral:lncRNA from 8 species
UUGUUUGCCGACAGCCAUAAUAUCAAAGAAGAAGACCCCGUACUGUAGGUGGCGGCAAUAUGGAAUGUUUUUUUUGUUUUUCUUAUUCAAUACCCCGUGCAGCUGGUGGCGGUAAUGCACCAUUAACAUUGGAUGCCAACCGCCGUUAAACCCCAUCGAAGAAGAAGAAGAAGAAGAAGAAGAAGAAGUGGCGGCGGCGGCGGCAAUACACCAGUAGGUGUAGUCUGCCAUAAAACUUUGAAGAAGAAGAAGCGCACGAGCACUUCUCAGGGUGUUUAAUUAUUUUCUUUUAAUGUUUUAUCAAGACAAGCAAGUUGAAAAUGACCUUUGCCUUUCCUCUAUGAAGGAAUGUUUUUAUAGAUGAAGACCUAGACUAAAACGUUGAAUAGCUACCUGAAUGGAAAUUGAAUAGUUGAAUGAAUGAGACUGGCGUCUUGAAAAGAUAGAACAUGUACCUGUUGCGCUUCUCUAUUGCCAUCAUUCUUGGGUUUGUGUGGUAUUUAUUUGACCGCGGACAAGUAGCGGCUCAAAUUGUUUUAUGUUUACUAUUUUGGCAAUCAACCCCAAAUGUUUUAAUAAAGACCAGACGGGAAAGCGGCACUCAAACAGACGAUGUGGCUGAAGAAGAUUUAUUCCAGGAAACCACCGACCAUUUAGGUUGUGAUGUGACUGAUACAACAAGCACUAAAGCUGAAACAUCACAGGAGAGACAGUUUCCCCAUGUGAAGAGGUCUCUUCAGCAAGUGUUUGAGUGUGCCUACGCCCAGCUAGUCCUCCCCUGGUACAGCAUCCCUGAGCCCUGUGACAGUCAGCUCCUGCACCAGGUGCUGUGGAGGGAGUUUGACCAAGUCAUCGAUCAAGUCAUCAGCAAAGGCAAAGACUUUGACGUCUGUGCUGCAAGUGUGGGCUGCAUUCGCAUCCUGACCCAGCACCUCCAUAAUGCCAAACAGUCUCAUAGAAAACCAUUGUUCCGCUCUAGAGGAGAGGAGGUUGAAGUUCUCCGAGUGUUCUCUGAAGCACUGGUGCGAAACCUUUUACCCCAGUCCCUAUGGGGACUGGCAGUCAGCCACUGUGCCUUAAAUGAGAUAGUUGCCUUAAAAGCACUGGACCUGCUGGUGCGGUGGCUCUCAGACCCUGACAACCUCAACCAGCUGGUGGUGAGUCAGCUGGAUGGAGCGACCCGUAAGAGCUCUGUGGAGGAGCUGUGUGAGUCCCACUCUGACAGGGCCUCUCCCGUCUCCCUGGAGAGCCAGGCCAGUGGAGCGACGCAGGAAGAAACAGAGGGUGCUCAAACCAGUGACAGCAAGUCCAAAAAGAAAGCCAACAAAUUGAAGGAAGGCUGGUCUAAAUUCCUUGACAAGAUGAGAUUGAAGAAGGCUAAAAGGGAGAAGAUGAAGAAAAGGGAGCAGGCGCUGGUUGUCACGGCCCUGUCUAUCCAGGGUCGUCCAUCAAACGAAAAUGAAGGGAGUAGCCGGGAGGGCUCCAUCCGGAACCAGCAGGACUCUGACAGCGAGGACAGUGAUCUGGAGAGCUACUGGAACAGUGUACAAGAGGAUAUGAUGGAAUUCAAGCUGUCGUAUGAGCUGUGGCGGGUUGGCCACUGGGCUGUCAGCGUCCCUUGUGUGGAGAGGGAAAACGAGGAACUGUAUUUUACAGUUCACCUGGAGGAGAGGGACAACCCUGAAAAUCUUCACUGGAACGUGAGGAAGACCCAAACAGACAUCAUCCACUUCCGCAACCUAUGGCAGGACUCUGCUACUUUACCCUCCCUAUACGUGUUAGAGGAGAGCACUGAGGUGAACAUCAAUGAGGAUUUUAAAGAAGCCAGGAAGUCCAUCAAGCUCUUCUUACAGGAGCUGGUGUCUGAUGUUCUAGUGGGCCACACUCAGCCAGUAUUUCAGUUUCUGUGUCCUCUGGAAAAGCUGCUGGUUGAAGAGGAUCAUGUGUGGUGCCUCUUCAGUGGCCUGGCCAACUUCCUGACUCCGGGCCAAGAGGAAGAUGAGGACAAGCACAACAGCCUUGGAAGAGGGACCAAACCAGAUGAUUCCAACACAACGGAGGCUGCAGAACCAACUGCAACUGAGAACCUGGAUGGCGAUACAAGGGAUGACCUGGCCCGGGGCCCAUGUAUCAUCAUCUCCCAAUGUGAUGAGGAUUCUCCUUCAGAACCCAGUUCCAUUGAGUGCUGCAGAGAUGACGAGACUGAACCAAUAGAGAAAUCUGACAUUUUGGUUAAUGCAGACAAAACCGAGGAAUCUGAGAAACCCAUAACUUCCCACCUAAAGAUGGCAAUCAAAGGGCUAUCUAGAUCAGAGGAGUGUCUGGCCCAAACGAAAUCAGACACCCCUGAAAACCAGACUGACUCUUUCUGUAGACUGCGACGUUCCAGUGAAAAUGGAAGCUCGCAAUUUGACCUCGCUGACAGUCCAUCACAUCCUUUCGGUGGAAAGUUGAAUAAAAAGGAGAAACUCACUUUCAAAAUGUCAGGAGGUAUCCCCAGGAGUAAAGGAAAUGAAAUGGGGAGUCAGACAAAAUUAGAAGACUCACCGUGUUUGAAAAAGGAACAAUCCAGCUGGGAGCAAAUGGAAGCAACCAAAGCCCUUUUUGAUUUGUUGAAAGCAAUAUCUGGCAAUUCCAUCCUUCUGAACAUAUUUGAUGCGAUUCUGAAACCCGUCAUGCCGAUAUUGAAAAAGAAAGUGAACCGCUUCUUGAAUAAUAUGAACCCAACGGAAGCACAGAUUGCCUCCUAUAUCGACAACCUGCGUGAGAAACAGUGGCCCGAGGGCUUGCCGGAGAUGACUUGCCCCAUACCCCAUCGCAGCAGUGAGGAGAAGCAUGAGACCAAAGACAGAGCUCACCACCUCAUCAAUGCCAGAUAUUCAAACUAUUUAAUCUUGAAGAAGACAGAUAUGGAGACAGCGUUUAAGCUCUUCCAGGACUGUGAAGAAAACAAGAAGCUGAUCUAUAUGCUGCUUUCAUUCCUGUUGAGACAGCUUCUGCCAGGCCUUACAACAAUCCCAUUUAGUAGCAUUUAA